rnacentral:tRNA from 1 species
UCUAAUAUGGCAGAUUAGUGCAAUAGAUUUAAGCUCUAUAUAUAAAGAAGUAUUCUUUUAUUAGAA